UACGGAGGGUGCAAGCGUUAAUCGGAAUUACUGGGCGUAAAGCGCACGUAGGCGGUUUGACAAGUGGGAUGUGAAAGCCCUGGGCUCAACCUGGGAACUGCAUCCCAAACUGUCAGGCUAGAGUAUGGUAGAGGGGGGCGGAAUUCCCGGUGUAGCGGUGAAAUGCGUAGAGAUCGGGAGGAACAUCAGUGGCGAAGGCGGCCCCCUGGACUGAUACUGACGCUGAGGUGCGAAAGCGUGGGGAUCAAAC
rnacentral:rRNA from 2 species